GACGAACGCUGGCGGCGUGCUUAACACAUGCAAGUCGAGCGGUAAGGCCCUUUCGGGGGUACACGAGCGGCGAACGGGUGAGUAACACGUGGGUGACCUGCCCUCAGCUCUGGGAUAAGCCUGGGAAACUGGGUCUAAUACUGGAUAUGACUCCACGGUGCAUGUCGUGGGGUGGAAAGCCUUGUGCGGCUGAGGAUGGGCCCGCGGCCUAUCAGCUUGUUGGUGGGGNGAUGGCCUACCAAGGCGACGACGGGUAGCCGGCCUGAGAGGGCGACCGGCCACACUGGGACUGAGACACGGCCCAGACUCCUACGGGAGGCAGCAGUGGGGAAUCUUGCGCAAUGGGCGAAAGCCUGACGCAGCGACGCCGCGUGAGGGA
rnacentral:rRNA from 1 species